UUGUGUUUUAAUUUGUCCUCUCCUUUUGACUUCUGAAACACGACGACAGAGAGAAGUGAGAUGAGACAGUGAGAGAUGAGAGAUUCCAAGGGAAGAAGACAGAGACCGGCCUGAGUUCGUCGCCUUUGUCACCGUCUGAGUUCGUCGCCGUCGACCUGUCUCUACUCCUCGUCACUUUGUUCUUCCGGAAUCUGUACUCCUCCUGAGAACUCCCCUCUCUCCUCUGCAGCCGAAUCCGAAACCAACACUCGUCUCACUCUCAAUCUCCUCUCAUGUCUGCUCCUUAGGUCUGGUGCUUCCUCUUCAAAGAACAGAUGAAAUCCACAUCUCAAACCCAUCUUGGAUGCAAUCUCCUUCCUACGAAGAGGCUUGGAACGAGCCACAUAUAUGAUGAAAGUUGCUUUUGAAGCUGUGGAUUCUGUGAGUCAGCCACCACGUCAAUCUGACCGUAGCAAUGAGUAGACAAGAACCUCAAAUCUCUUGCAUUCCCAGGUUCUAAGAGUACCCAAAAGGGUGUGACAGAAUGCUCUUGUUGUUGGUCCAACUUUACAUCCAAAGGGCUAAGUAUUAACCUUUUAUCGUUUGUUUUGUUGAUCUGGAUGCUAGUUGAUGCUUCUACUUAAUGGCAAGGAUACUGAUUAAAAAUAUUUUGUAUUUUCAUGUUCUUACGUAACUCUUGUUUCAGCUGUGUGCUAAGAGACAGAAGAUGUUGGAAGACAUGGAAAAAGACUUUGAAGUGGACAAGAGGCAGAUAAGUUUGAUGGAGGAGGAGGUAGCAAAAGCAGUGGAUCAUUAGACAUUAGGUUUAGAGUGGAAAAGGUCCAAGCUCCUCUGUGUGAUUGGAAGACGGCGAGGUUGGAGUACUCGUUGUGACGGCAUCGGUCGUGGUGUGGUGCGGCACUAGAAGAUAGAACUUUAGGUAUAGAAUUUUAGGUGUAGGCUUAAUAUUUUUGAAAAAAAAAUGGUUUCGUUUGGUUUAGUUUGAUAUACUUGUCAUAAAUAUGUAACCAAUUUCGAUAUAUAAAAAAUUUAAAAAAAUUUAUUUGUA